GCCUGGCUGGCUCGGUAGGUAGAGUAUGUGACUCUUGAUCUCAGGAUUGUAAGUUCAAGUCCCACACUGGGUG
rnacentral:tRNA from 1 species